rnacentral:rRNA from 1 species
UGGAGGGCAAGUCUGGUGCCAGCAGCCGCGGUAAUUCCAGCUCCAAUAGCGUAUAUUAAAGUUGUUGCAGUUAAAAAGCUCGUAGUUGAACUUCGGAAUUUAUUCAUUGGUCAGGCUUAACUGUCUGUACUGGUGUGAUGAAUUCCUACCUUCUGAGGAAUCUUCAUGCCAUUCACUUGGUGUGGUGGGGAAUCAGGACUGUUACUUUGAAAAAAUUAGAGUGUUUAAAGCAGGCUAACGUCUGAAUACAUUAGCAUGGAAUAAUAAAAUAGGACGGCUUGGUUCUAUUUUGUUGGUUUCUAGGAUCACCGUAAUGAUUAAUAGGGAUAGUUGGGGGCAUUAGUAUUCAAUUGUCAGAGGUGAAAUUCUUGGAUUUAUUGAAGACUAACUACUGCGAAAGCAUUUGCCAAGGAUGUUUUCAUUAAUCAAGAACGAAAGUUAGGGGAUCGAAGACGAUCAGAUACCGUCGUAGUCUUAACCAUAAACUAUGCCGACUAGGGAUCGGACGAAGUUAAUUUUUAAAUGACUCGUUCGGCACCUUACGGGAAACCAAAGUGUUUGGGUUC